GACACUUCUCUCACAGAGAGAGAGGAAAAAGAAGGAGGAGGAGGAGGAAGAGGAAGAGGAGAAAAUUGCAGUACCUCUUAUGACCUGGUCUCCUAGUCAUCCACCAUCAUUUCCGCUGUAUUCUAUUUGUCAGAAGUGAAAAUCCUAGAAUGGCAGAGGGAAGAAAUCCUCUUUCUGUAAUUCCAGAAGAAUUCCACAGUGGGAGCCAUUUUCAAGGAUGCGGCCUUGAGUGAGCAAUGUGUUGCUGAGACCAUCUGGACUGAAUAUGUGACUGAACCCAGGGAAGGCCUCUGCAUAGACUGUUAAGAUUCUGGCAGGCAGAUGCAGAGAUCCACUUGUCUUACGGCCGCCCAGGACAAGCCUCGUAUACUACCUCCCACCUUGGAUGUGAACCUGAGGCCCGGGAUGGGGUGGGGAGCCUGCCACUCUUGCCGGCAACCGUUAAGACAAGCAUGAAGAUAAAAUCCAGGAAGCUAAGCAUGGAAGAGGGAAAGCAGACAGAGCCAGGAGCCCUGGGGCAUUGGUGAGCAGCCAGACUGCCCACGCUGGACCUCUGAUUAUCAAAGGGAUGAAUCUCUAUCCUGUGAAGAGCAUAGCUGCUGAUCAUCCCAAAACUGGAGCCAUCUUAAUGUGAACAACAGCUUUCCUCCCCGUAAUGCCCGUGCCAGCCAUUGAGCCACCCAGGAGGAUCUGGGGAGCCCCAAGUCUCCAAAGCAGAAACAAAAGGGAAGACUUGUCCGAGAUUACCUUAGUAAUAAGCAGCUAAUUAUAAUAUUAAUUUGCAUAAUACCCUCCCUUUUAGCAGUGAUUUCACUGCGAAAACCAAGUGGUAUUAAUGAAAAAAAAAUUGUUUCCAGCUGCCUAAGCCCAGAGGCUAAUCCAGGAAUUGAUGCCCUUGCAACAAUGACCAUAAGAUCUCCUUGUGGGCAGAGCCUCUGAAGGCCUGUUUGGGCAGCUAACCCUUCUUUUGAGCGCUCUUUUUUACCUUCAGUGGUUGAGACUGAGGUCUUAAAACUGCUCCUGCCAAUGACAACCAAAGUUACCUGCCAGAGCAGAAAGAAACAAAAGAAAAGGAAAAUCUUAAAUUAUGCGUUCCCUUCUUUAGAAUGGGCCUGUGGUUGGGGGCUGGCAUAUGGGCAUCAGUGGAUGAAACUGGAGAAGGUGGAAGUGUUCAUGUGAAAAAAAAUGGUUCAACAAUUUCUUAUAAAGUUAAACCCUAUGACUCAGCAAAUCUACUCCUGGGUAUGUACCUAUGAGAAAUGAAGCAUAUGUUCACCAAAAGACUUGUAAAAGAAUGUUUGGAGCACUUUAUUUUUCAUAGCCUCAAACUGAAAACAAACCGAAUGUCCAUUACCAGGAGGGUGGAAGAA
rnacentral:lncRNA from 1 species